AUGGAUGUCCAGUUGUCCAUCAGCUUCCUGAGGGACAGACUGGGCGGGGCCAUUGACGAGGCAGUGCGUACAGCAGUGGAGUCUGUGCUGUGUGAGACUGUGCGUCUGUUAACCGGGCUCCAAGGGGACCAGCAGCAUGGACUUUCCUCAGUGACCCAGAGGGACCAGGACACCCUGGGACUGAAGCAGAGGUUUGAGGCCCCCGGCGGGGGUGACUGGAGGGUGCAGGCUGGGUCUUCAGGGGCGUUCUGUAACACAGGACCGAGGGUUAGUGGUGGGCGCUGCAACACUAAGAAUCCAAUGGGUCAAACCACUUGCUCAACCUCCCAAGCAUCACAAAGGACCACCGUGGAGCCCCAUCUCCAGGAGGUGGUGGAGGACUGUGCUGGAUUGCCUGACCCGUUUGACCUUGUGUCGGCUGGGCCAGUGAUGGUGGACUAUGAGGAGGGUCAGGGCAUGGGGAUCCCAGAGGAGUGGGAACUGAUGAACAGAGUGUACAAGACGGAGCACAAUGAAGACAUGGCCCUUAUUGAUGUGGGCGGUACCACUCAAUUUGCAGAUGACCACAGGCUGCAUGAAGGAGACCAGAGGACUGUGGCUGUGCCCCUGGAGGGAGAGAUGGCUGCCAAGCCCCAGGACGCAUUGCACCCCUGCUUCAGCCCAGCCAACAUCAAAACAGAGCGACCUGAGAUAGAGAGAUGCUGCAUGGCUGAGGAGGCCCUUGCUCUGCCUCUGGCUCAUCCUGCCAAUAGUGGUGUGGAGGCCGGUGAGUUUGGGCAGGAGCAGGUGGAGGCUGGUCCACAGGACUUUGUAGGUCGCCUGCGCCUGUGGCUGGAGCAGCUGUGUCCUGAGGUGGUCCGGGAGUACGAGAGGGAGGGCUGUCUGUGUGAGCUGUCCCGCAGGAAGCUUAUCAAGUUCUCUGUGUCCUUCAUCGUGGAGGAGUUUGGAUUCUACCCUACCUCUGCUCAGAAGACCAUGCUGGCAGAGCACAUAGUGGAGCUCUUCCCAGGACUCAGGCUCUGUGCACCCUCUGCUGGCAUCAACGGCAUAGAACACUUGUACGACCCUUUGUCCCGUACGGGUUACAUUGAGACGCGCCUGCGCAACUCUCGACGCACCCUUGAAGACCACAAGAAGAAGUAUGUGCUGAAGAGGCGUCGGCCAGAGCCAGGCUUGGCGGACCCUCCUGUACCUAGAUUGGGGUCUGGGCUCCUGGAGAGACAGUCCAGUGAGGAGACCCAGAGGUGGAUGGAGCUGAUGAAGAGAACCAGGCCCCUGACCAGGAACCUGCCUGCCAUCCACAGUGCUAUGGACCUCACAUUCAACGCACGCAGGAGGUGGAUCAGCAACACACGGCCUAGUAUGAGGGCUGUGUUGGCCGAGUACCCACGUUUUCUUGACGUUCCCACCACGAUUGACCUGGAGUUUGAGAGGAUGUUCCCAGGCAAAGGCCACUCCUUCCUGGCCCAGUGGUCGUCGUUCGUGUUGCCCAGGCUGUACCAGAUUGCAGAGUGUGAAAAACACCCGGACAUCUCUGCACUUCUCCAACUGGCUGCCACACAGCAAGGAGACUCCUACACCAUGACUAUGCUGAAAGUCCUGAUCUAUGUACUACCACCAACAAACACCAGUAGAGCCUCCUUACCCUCCAGGAGCAGUGUCAGGCAGGCCAUUCGGUAUCUGGUGGACAUUGUACCGAUAGACACCAUGGUGUCCUCCUUAUUCUGUGACCUUACCUCCUUGGAGGGCCCAGAGUCAGUGUCCCACGCUCAGCCCUACAUAUUGAGCGUGGGGCCCCUGGAGGCCCCUGGCCGGCAGCUUUGCAUCGUGUUCCCUGUUGAUAGGAUUGCAAUCCCCCUGCCUCAGGAGGGCCUGAGCAAUGCACUGGACAAGCUUUUCAAGCUUCUGCGUGUGUUUGAACUGGGGUACCCAGAUCAGCUAUCCUCCCUGUAUGGCUUCCUUGAGCACCUGUAUGGGCUGGAGAUGACCCCACAAGAUAACCAUGACUCCCCCAGUGGCAAGGGGUCAAAAGUGCUUGAACUUUUAUCACGGCUCCACAUGCCCUCCUGACAGAAGGCAUAGGUCUAUACAAGAAUUGAACUCGUCUCAGACUUACCUUUUAUUUUUUAAAUAUUUUAUUAUAGCCGUCCUUUACAGAACACCUCCUUUACUAUGUUCUGGAUUUGCCCCAAAAUUAAAGUAUGUCAGACUGAACUGAGCAAUGCUGAUGGAUACUGGUGUUAUACCUUCAUUAUACAGUACCAGUCAAAGGUUUGGACACACCUACUCACUCAAGGGUUUUUCUUUAUUUUUAAUAUGUUCUACAUUGUAGAAUAAUAGUGAAUACAUCAAAACUAUGAAAUAACACAUAUGGCAUCAUGUAGUAACCAAAAAAGUGUAAAACAAAUAAAAAUAUAUUUUAGAUUCUUCAAGGUUGCUACCCUUUGCCUUGACAGCUUUGCACACUCUUGGCAUUCUCUCAACCAGCUUCAUGAGGUAGCCACCUGGAAUGCAUUUCAAUUAACAUGUGUGCCUUGUUAAUUGGUGGAAUUUCUUUCCUUAAUGCUUUUGAGACAUUUCUUUCCUUAAUGUAUUUGAGCCAAUCAGUUGGGUUGUAGGGGUGGUAUACAGAAGAUGUACCUACUUGGUAAAAUACCAAGUCCUUAUUAUGGUCCAUCAUUACUUUAAGAAAUGAAGGUAGGUCAAUCUGGAAAAUUUCGAAAACUUUUAAAAUGACUUCAAGUGCAGUCCAUUAAGCGCUAUGAUGAAACUGGCUCUCAUGAGGACCGCCACAGGAAAGGAAGACCCAGAGUUACCUCUGCUGCAGAGGAUAAGUUCAUUAGAGUUACCAGCUUCAGAAAUUGCAGCCCAAAUAAAUGCUUCAGAGUUCAAGUAAACAGACACAUCUCAACAUCAACUGUUCAGGGGAGACUGUGUGAAUCAGGCCUUCAUGGUCAAAUUGUUGCAAAGAAACCAGUACUAAAGGACACCAAUAAGGAGAAGAGACUUGCUUGGGCCAAGAAACACGAGCAAAGGACAUUAGACCGGUGGAAUUCUGAGUCCGAAGUUGAGAUUUUCGUUCCAACCGCCGUGUCUUUGUGAGACGCAGAGUAGGUGAAAGGAUGAUCUCUGCAUGUGUGGUUCCCACUGUGAAACAUGGAGGUGGUGUGGGGGUGCUUUGCUGGUGACACUGUCUGUGAUUUAUUUAGAAUUCAAGGCACACUUAACCAGCAUGGCUACCACAGCAUUCUGCAGCGAUACGCCAUCCCAUCUGGUUUGCGCUUUGUGGGACAUCAUUUGUUUUUCAACAGGCACAACACACCUCCAGUGUUAUUUGACCAAGAAGGGGAGAGAUGUAGUGCUGCAUCAGAUGAACUGGCCUCCACAAUCACCCGACUUCAAUCCAAUUGAGAUGGUUUGGGAUGAAUUUGACCACAGAGUGAAGGAAAAGCAGCCAACAAGUGCUCAGCAUAUUUGGGAACUCCUUCAAGACUGUUAGAAAAGCUUUCCUCAUGAAGCUGGUUGAGAGAAUGCCAAGAGUGUGCAAAGGGUGGCUACUUUGAAGAAUGUCAAAUAAACAAAUCAAAAAUUUGUUAAAAUCUUGGUUUUUCUUGGUUACUACAUGAUUCCAUAUGUGUUAUUUCAUAGUUUUGAAGUCUUCACCAUUAUUCUACAAUGUAGAAAAUAGUAAAAAGAAAGUCAACCCCUUGAGUGAGUAGGUGUUUCCAAACAUUUGACUGGUACUGUAUAUUCACUGAGCUUCUCAUUGACAAUGCAAAUACUUGCAUAAAACUAACAUCUUGUAUGAAUUUUCUGUGGGGGGAAAUGAUACUGUAUGUUGUACUUUAGGAUACCUUUUCAGUUUUUGCUCAAUUGCUUUAGAAUUUAACUUGCUCAUGAUACUGUUGUGGUUUUUAAUUAAAAAAAAGAAUUGAAUAUGUGAAAAACUGGUGAGGUAUGUAAUGGUAUCAUUUUCUGUCCUGUCAACACAUUUAAGUAAUGCAUGACUAAGUGAUAUGUUCUUUGUAUAGUCUAUGUUCAAUCGGUGGCAGCAGUCUAAUAUGGCCUCGGUUGAACCUGCCUAUGGGCCAUCACUUCACCAGGUGAAGCCAGUGAGGGAGGAGUGCCCAACAAUCUGCGCCACUCCCUUAUGUCGUCAAUAAGGCAGCAUGAUCCAUCGUUCAGAAACAUCUCUUUUCUCAAACUAGUUUCAUGUAGAAGGCAGAUACGUUGUCAAAAGCAGACACUUUUGCAAUUGAAAACAGAAUCCUACUCAUUACUCCACGUGCUGACCUACGUCACUUUUGCAAUUGAAAACAGAAUCCUACUCAUUACUCCACGUGCUGACCUACGUCACUUUUGCAAUUGAAAACAGAAUCCUACUCAUUACUCCACGUGCUGACCUACGUCACUUUUGUUUUGAGACUAUUUAUAUUGAACAGACAUAUAAACGCAACAUGUAAAGUGUUGGUUUCAUGAGCUGAAUUUUUUCAUAUGCACAAAAAGCUAAACAAAUUUGUUUUACAUCCCUGUUAGUGAACAUCUGGCUUCUUCACCUGUGGGGUCGUCUGAGACCAGCCACCUGGACAACUGAUGAAACAGGAGUAUUUGUGUCUGUAAUAAAGCCCUUUUGUGGGG
ensembl:lncRNA